GAUUGGCUAUGAUGAUGUAAUCUCAGCUUAAAUGCCAGUUCUGCUUCAGAAAAUUCUUGAUCGAAAGAGCUGUUUACAACAAGCUGAGCCUUUU